AGUCUCAUCGACCGGAAAGGAUUCCUUCCGGUCGAUGAGGUAAAUACCUCAUCGACCGGAAGGAAUCCUUCCGGCCGAUGAGGUG
rnacentral:miRNA from 1 species